rnacentral:lncRNA from 10 species
AGUAAAUCAAUCUCAGGAAACUUUGGUUUUCUGUCUUUCCCCCUUGUUUUGUAGGCAUGUCAGCUUCUCUUGCAGCAGCAGCAACAGCAGCAGUUGUUACAGAACCAGAGAAAGAUUUCUCAAGCUGUACGCCAACAGCAAGAGCAGCAGCUGGCUCGAAUGGUGAGUGCACUGCAGCAGCAGCAGCAGCAGCAGCAGAGGCAGCCAGGCAUGAAGCACUCGCCCUCUCAUCCUGUUGGGCCCAAGCCGCAUCUGGACAACAUGGUACCCAACGCAUUGAAUGUGGGGCUCCCAGACCUUCAAACCAAAGGGCCAAUACCUGGAUAUGGUUCUGGUAAGUUGUUGGUAGAGAAAAUUACCUUUUUAGAAAUCUACCUCUCUAGGCCUGUGGUAGGGGUUGCACCUGCAUUACCCUCCUUUUUUAUGUCAGCUGUACAAGGUAGGUAAAUAUUCUUAUCCCUGGUUUACAGAUGAGACAUCUGAGGCUUCUUGAGUU